UGAGUACGAGCUGCUACGGCAGCGAAGUGGGUGACGUCAAGCUUCCAAGAAAAGCCCUAUACCCGUUAAGGCAUGAUGGCCUGUACCCGAAACCGACACAGGUGGGGUGGUAGAGAAUACCGAGGGGCGCGAGAUAACUCUCUCUAAGGAACUCGGCAAAAUGGCCCCGUAACUUCGGGAGAAGGGGUGCCACCGCAAGGUGGUCGCAGUGAAGAGGCCCAGGCGACUGUUUACCAAAAACACAGGUCUCCGCUAAGUCGCAAGACGAUGUAUGGGGGCUGACGCCUGCCCAGUGCCGGAAGGUUAAGGAAGCUGGUCAGCGUAAGCGAAGCUAGCGACUGAAGCCCCGGUGAACGGCGGCCGUAACGAUAACGGUCCUAAGGUAGCGAAAUUCCUUGUCGGGUAAGUUCCGACCCGCACGAAAGGCGUAACGAUCUGGGCGCUGUCUCGGAGAGAGGCUCGGCGAAAUAGAAUUGUCUGUGAAGAUGCGGACUACGUGCACCCGGACAGAAAGACCCCAUGAAGCUUUACUGUAGCUUGGUAUUGUGCUCGGGCUCGGAAUGCGCAGGAUAGGUGGGAGGCUAUGAACCAUUGCUUGUGGGUGAUGGUGAGCCACUGGUGAGAUACCACUCUUUCCGAGCUAGAGUUCUAACAGCCACCCGUUAUCCGGGGGCUGGACAGUAUCAGGUGGGCAGUUUGACUGGGGCGGUCGCCUCCUAAAAGGUAACGGAGGCGCGCAAAGGUUUGCUCAGGCUGGUUGGAAAUCAGCCGACGAGUGUAAAAGCAGAAGCAAGCUUGACUGUGAGACCUACAAGUCGAACAGGGAGGAAACUCGGCUUUAGUGAUACGGCGGUUCUGCGUGGAAGGGCCGUCGCUCAACGGAUAAAAGUUACUCUAAGGAUAACAGGCUGAUCUCCCCCAAGAGUUCACAUCGACGGGGAGGUUUGGCACCUCGAUGUCGGCUCAUCGCAACCCGGUGCUGAAGUCGGUCCCAAGGGUUGGGCUGUUCGCCCAUUAAAGCGGUACGCGAGCUGGGUUCAGAACGUCGUGAGACAGUUCGGUCCAUAUCCGGUGCAUGCGCAGGAAUAUUGAGAGGAUUUCUCCCUAGUACGAGAGGACCGGGAGGAACGCACCUCUGGUGUACCAGUUAUCGUGCCAACGGUAAACGCUGGGUAGCCAUGUGCGGAGAGGAUAACCGCUGAAAGCAUCUAAGUGGGAAGCCCACCUCAAGAUGAGUAUUCCCAUGGGGUAACCCAGUAAGGUCACGGGAAGAACACCCGUUGAUAGGCUCUACGUGGAAGCGCAGUAAUGUGUGAAGCGGAGGAGUACUAAUAGACCGAGGGCUUGACC
rnacentral:rRNA from 1 species